rnacentral:rRNA from 1 species
UCCUGGCUCAGGAUGAACGCUGGCGGCGUGCUUAACACAUGCAAGUCGAACGAUGAAGCCCAGCUUGCUGGGUGGAUUAGUGGCGAACGGGUGAGUAACACGUGAGUAACCUGCCCUUGACUCUGGGAUAAGCCCGGGAAACUGGGUCUAAUACCGGAUAGGAGCGCCUGUCGCAUGACGGGUGUGGAAAGAUUUUCGGUCAUGGAUGGACUCGCGGCCUAUCAGCUUGUUGGUGAGGUAAUGGCUCACCAAGGCGACGACGGGUAGCCGGCCUGAGAGGGUGACCGGCCACACUGGGACUGAGACACGGCCCAGACUCCUACGGGAGGCAGCAGUGGGGAAUAUUGCACAAUGGGCGGAAGCCUGAUGCAGCGACGCCGCGUGAGGGAUGACGGCCUUCGGGUUGUAAACCUCUUUCAGUAGGGAAGAAGCGAAAGUGACGGUACCUGCAGAAGAAGCACCGGCUAACUACGUGCCAGCAGCCGCGGUAAUACGUAGGGUGCGAGCGUUAUCCGGAAUUAUUGGGCGUAAAGAGCUCGUAGGCGGUUUGUCGCGUCUGUCGUGAAAGUCCGGGGCUUAACCCCGGAUCUGCGGUGGGUACGGGCAGACUAGAGUGCAGUAGGGGAGACUGGAAUUCCUGGUGUAGCGGUGGAAUGCGCAGAUAUCAGGAGGAACACCGAUGGCGAAGGCAGGUCUCUGGGCUGUAACUGACGCUGAGGAGCGAAAGCAUGGGGAGCGAACAGGAUUAGAUACCCUGGUAGUCCAUGCCGUAAACGUUGGGCACUAGGUGUGGGGACCAUUCCACGGUUUCCGCGCCGCAGCUAACGCAUUAAGUGCCCCGCCUGGGGAGUACGGCCGCAAGGCUAAAACUCAAAGGAAUUGACGGGGGCCCGCACAAGCGGCGGAGCAUGCGGAUUAAUUCGAUGCAACGCGAAGAACCUUACCAAGGCUUGACAUGUUUUCGAUCGCCGUGGAGACACGGUUUCCCCUUUGGGGCGGAUUCACAGGUGGUGCAUGGUUGUCGUCAGCUCGUGUCGUGAGAUGUUGGGUUAAGUCCCGCAACGAGCGCAACCCUCGUUCCAUGUUGCCAGCACGUUGGUGGGGACUCAUGGGAGACUGCCGGGGUCAACUCGGAGGAAGGUGAGGACGACGUCAAAUCAUCAUGCCCCUUAUGUCUUGGGCUUCACGCAUGCUACAAUGGCCGGUACAAUGGGUUGCGAUACUGUGAGGUGGAGCUAAUCCCAAAAAGCCGGUCUCAGUUCGGAUUGGGGUCUGCAACUCGACCCCAUGAAGUCGGAGUCGCUAGUAAUCGCAGAUCAGCAACGCUGCGGUGAAUACGUUCCCGGGCCUUGUACACACCGCCCGUCAAGUCACGAAAGUCGGUAACACCCGAAGCCGGUGGCCUAACCCUUGUGGGGGGAGCCGUCGAAGGUGGGACCAGCGAUUGGACUAAGUCGUA